rnacentral:rRNA from 1 species
CGCUCUCGACUUUCUGAGAUAGAUUGGUGCCUUCGGGAACGCAGUGACAGGUGCUGCAUGGCCGUCGUCAGCUCGUGUCGUGAGAUGUUGGGUUAAGUCCCGUAACGAGCGCAACCCCUAUCCCUAGUUGCUAGCAGUUCGGCUGAGAACUCUAGGGAGACUGCCGGUGACAAACCGGAGGAAGGUGGGGAUGACGUCAGGUCAUCAUGGCCCUUACGGCCAGGGCUACACACGUGCUACAAUGGCGCGCACAGAGGGCUGCAAACUCGCGAGGGUAAGCCAAUCUCUUAAAACGCGUCGUAGUCCGGAUCGCAGUCUGCAACUCGACUGCGUGAAGUCGGAAUCGCUAGUAAUCGCGAAUCAGAAUGUCGCGGUGAAUACGUUCCCGGGUCUUAGACACACCGAUAA